AAUCAUCAACUCUCUUGGUCUUUAUUGACUUUUAGAGAGCUUGGACUUGGAGGGUUUUUGCUGGUUUCUGUACUUUUUUGAAGUAUAAAAUCAGCUCCUCUUGAAUGCAUUAGCUUGAACCUAUGCUGUGAUCGGCUGUUUGGUGUGAUAAUUGUCUACGCCACAGUUGUGAAAGCUAUAAAUAUAUAGGGUCAGCUUCGAACCGUCCUUUACAAAUGGGACAACAUCUUUAUUGAC
rnacentral:misc_RNA from 1 species